AUUGAACGCUGGCGGCAGGCCUAACACAUGCAAGUCGAGCGGAGCGGUGGACGGGUGAGUAAUGCCUAGGAAUCUGCCUGGUAGUGGGGGAUAACGUCCGGAAACGGGCGCUAAUACCGCAUACUAUCAGAUGAGCCUAGGUCGGAUUAGCUAGGUGGUGGGUUAAAGGCCUACCAAGGCGACGAACCGUAACUGGUCUGAGAGGAUGAUCAGUCCAACUGGAACUGGGACACGGUCCAGACUCCUACGGGAGGCAGCAGUGGGGAAUAUUGGACAAUGGGCUAAAGCCUUAUCCGACAAUGCCGCAUGUGUGAAGAAGGUCUUCGGAUUUUAAAGCACUUUAAGUUGGGAAGCGUUACCAACAGAAUAAGCACCGGCUAACUUCGUGCCAGCCGCCGCGGUAAUAC
rnacentral:rRNA from 1 species